UACAUUAAUUUAAAGUUUGUUUUAUUUAUUUAUAUAUUCGAUUUGUGAUAGUUUUGAGUGAUUGUAACAACACUGUACAAAAUAAUAAGUGGAUCCUGUUACACAACAAAAAAAUCUACGUCCAGGCACUUCAUUUUGUUCCCUUUCUGGAGCACCCAUAGUUAAAAGUACCUGAUGCACCCUUGCUCAAGAUUUUUUCUUUUAUAGUAACAACAUCAUGUUGAAUGAAUCAGCUGAUUAAAUGAUUCACUGACUCAUCUAUAAAGACAGUAAUUUACUGUCCUAAUAAAGUAUCUGCAGAAAGAGUCAGUAAAAAUUCCCACCACUAAUGCAUUAAUCAUAAGAUUCAUUUUAAUUUUCUAUGAUAGAUCAUUUUGGACUACAUUCGGCAGCCACUGCAUUUUUAAAAUAUGCAAUUUAAAAUACAGUCAUACCCAUUUAAAUACAUCCACUGCUUUUCAGUGGAUGUUUGGGACCCAAGAUGCGCCAGGGCAUUCAGUAUAUGGACCAGCCUGGAUAUGGCAGAUCUAUCGCUGGCCCAUACGAGCCACCAGCAAUGGGCCCACUAAAACAGUCAACCAACAAAGGGCCAUGCCACCCUCCAGACGAUUUCAGUCCCAAGUGCCCCCCUCCAUGCCAAGCCACAUCGACAACCAAAGCCAACAACUGAGAGCUAAAGGCUUAGCUUUUCAUCAAAGGCAAAAUGCUUAUCUCCCACCACAGAGACUUAUGCUGCAUCAUUUCCAAACAUCUGCCACUAACCGACUAAUGCUGAGAAAACUGAUUUCCGAUGAGCUAAAAUAGCGACACAGAAAUUCAAUGUAAAGAGUUAAAUCAAACUACUUUCUCCUCUGUGAAUGAAAGUGGCACUAUUUACUUAGAGAUUAAUGUUUGACUGGAUGAAGCACCAAUCCCUUGCUGAAGUAUUUUUACAUUUUGCCCUUUCAAAUCAUUCACAUUCAUCACAGAAAUGCAGCUUUUCAUGACAACUUCUUUUGGUGGGAUUACAUUUUAUUUUUACAUGCUUCUCGGUCUGAACAACAGCAAAAUUUGCUCUCCCUGAAAAUCGCUUCCAGAAAUCUGUGACGAGAUGGAAAGAUAGACAGCGGGUGAGUCAGAGAUACAGACAAUGUCUCAAUGAGCAGCAGAGAGCUGAUCAUUUAUUUAUAAAUGGCUUACAACUGUGACUGCUGUGGAUUGCUGGUAUAAGAGGCCUUUCGGAUGUACGUAAGAGACUUGUCUGAGUGGCACAUUGGGGAGAAUGAGGAUGUCUGUUAUCAACUGAAAGAAAAGAAAGUGACUCAAGUUUGGGAAAAAACACAAAGUGUCCCUUGUUAGGGCACUUCAAGACCUUUACAGCAUUUCACCACAGCUUUCCCUGACGAAUUUCAUACCGAAUGCAAUCCCAAACAGGCAUCAUACAGAUAUUUGUCCCAUUUGAGGGCUUCCUCCCAUCUGUGUGGUUUCCUCGCUGGCUGAUGAAGAGCCUUCCACCUGUGACGAGGUUUUCUUGGUAGACUGCAUCUUGGCCUGAGGCUUGCUUUGAAGCAGCUGUCGUACAAGCAAAGACAACAGAAGGACAUGCAUCGCCAGUUUUUAUGACUCAUGCUGGAAAUGAUGGUGCCCACGGCCUUGGUCCUGCCCUCUCUGAAGACGAGUCUCUGGUCCGUGUGAAAGUACUCGGGGGUCUUGAUGAAACGGAAGUCUUGGUAUCUUGGAGAUAUCGUCGUCGGAUGGUGUAGUACGAGAAUCUCUGCCUCAAACUCCCAGCAUGCCUGUGGGUUGAGGCGUGGCGACACCAUCACCAUUCCCUUCCUGAUUGAUGAGCGCUUGAUCUUCUUCAG